CAAAAUAAAAAUAUAUAUUUAAAUUAAUCUUCUUGAUGCUUCCAUGGGUGCUUUCUAUAUAACUAAUCUGUGCUUCGCGGGUUUUCUCCAUGUCUUGGUCCAUUC